rnacentral:rRNA from 1 species
UACGAAGGGGGCUAGCGUUGUUCGGAAUUACUGGGCGUAAAGCGUGUGUAGGUGGCUGCGUAAGUCGGAUGUGAAAGCCCUGGGCUCAACUCAGGAAGUGCACUCGAUACUGCGUAGCUCGAGUACCGGAGAGGUUGGUAGAAUUCUCGGUGUAGAGGUGAAAUUCGUAGAUAUCGAGAGGAAUACCUGUGGCGAAGGCGGCCAACUGGACGAGUACUGACACUGAGACACGAAAGCGUGGGGAGCAAACAGG